GAAAGAUCAGACUCCAAGGAACAAGGGAUAAAGGCAGUCACAAAUAUGCCUAAAUUCUCUGUAACAGGAAGAGACCUGUCCUGUGUGCAGAGUAAGGCCUUGAAGAUUACAGUGAUUGCAUCUGUUGCUAAUGGCUGUCUCCACGGGCAGUUUUGCCUUCUUCAUACCUAAGGCCUACAAGCACGACUGUGCACAUGAUCUAUCAUUCCCUGUGCAUACUAUUCAGACAGGGAAAAUAGGCAGUCUUCAGUUACACAAGGAACGUUGGGAAACGGCCAGCCAAAGGUCUCAGAGAGUAUGGCACCUGCUACUCAAGCCGGAUGGCCUGAUAUUGUUCCCCAGAACUCAAGUGGAAGGAGAGAGCUGACUCCCAAUCGUCCUCUGACCUCCACAUUGGCAUCACGACCCUUGUGUACCCAUGCACACUUGCAUAAACCACGACCCUUGUGUACCCAUGCACACUCACAUAAACCCCGACCCUUGUGUACCCAUGCACACUCGCAUAAACCAUGACCCUUGUGUACCCAUGCACACUCACAUAAACCACGACCCUUGUGUACCCAUGCAUACUUGCAUAAACCACGACCCUUGUGUACCAAUGCAUACUUGCAUAAACCACAACCCUUGUGUACCCAUGCACACUCACAUAAACCCCAACCCUUGUGUACCCAUGCACACUCGCAUAAACCACGACCCUUGUGUACCCAUGCACGCCCGCAUAAACGACCCUUGUGUACCCAUGCACACUCACAUAAACCCCGACCCUUGUGUACUUAUGCAUACUCGCAUAAACCACGACCCUUGUGUACCCAUGCACACUCACAUAAACCACGACCCUUGUGUACCCAUGCACACUCACAUAAACCAAGACCCUUGUGUACCCAUGCACACUCGCAUAAACCACAUGCACACGUUAAACAAGUACAUUUUUUUAAAGAAAGAGAAGAUUGGUGAAAGUAACAAUAAUAAAAAAAUGGGUGGAG
rnacentral:lncRNA from 1 species